rnacentral:tRNA from 1 species
GGCAGGAUGGCCGAGUUGGUUAUGGCGCCAGGUUAAGGUUUACCUUAAUAUUCAAUCUCCUGGUUCGGGAAACUGAGCGUGGGUUCAAGUCCCACUCCUGUCA